GGCUCCAUCGUCUAGUGGUUAGGACGCUGCUCUGUCGAAGCGGAGACAGGGGUUCAAAUCCCCUUGGGGUCG
rnacentral:tRNA from 2 species